AGUGAACGCUGGCGGUAGGCCUAACACAUGCAAGUCGAACGGCAGCACAGUAAGAGCUUGCUCUUACGGGUGGCGAGUGGCGGACGGGUGAGGAAUACAUCGGAAUCUACUUUUUCGUGGGGGAUAACGUAGGGAAACUUACGCUAAUACCGCAUACGACCUACGGGUGAAAGCAGGGGAUCUUCGGACCUUGCGCGAUUGAAUGAGCCGAUGUCGGAUUAGCUAGUUGGCGGGGUAAAGGCCCACCAAGGCGACGAUCCGUAGCUGGUCUGAGAGGAUGAUCAGCCACACUGGAACUGAGACACGGUCCAGACUCCUACGGGAGGCAGCAGUGGGGGAUAUUGGACAAUGGGCGAAAGCCUGAUCCAGCCGUACCGCGUGGGUGAAGAAGGCCUUCGGGUUGUAAAGCCCUUUUGUUGGGAAAGAAAAGCAGCAGGUUAAUACCCCGCUGUUCUGACGGUACCCAAAGAAUAAGCACCGGCUAACUUCGUG
rnacentral:rRNA from 1 species